AAUCCGGGGUCUUAAUGCCGAGAGCUGAUGACGAGUCAUCUUUCAGAUGAUGAAGUGGUUGAUGCCAUGCUUCCAGGAAAAGCUUCUAAGCUUCAGGUAACUAGGAACCGUACCCCAAACCGACACAGGUGGUUGGGUAGAGAAUACCAAGGCGCUUGAGAGAACUCGGGUGAAGGAACUAGGCAAAAUGGCACCGUAACUUCGGGAGAAGGUGCGCCGGCGAGGGUUAAGGAUUUACUCCGUAAGCCCAUGCCGGUCGAAGAUACCAGGCCGCUGCGACUGUUUAUUAAAAACACAGCACUCUGCAAACACGAAAGUGGACGUAUAGGGUGUGACGCCUGCCCGGUGCCGGAAGGUUAAUUGAUGGGGUUAGCGAAAGCGAAGCUCUUGAUCGAAGCCCCGGUAAACGGCGGCCGUAACUAUAACGGUCCUAAGGUAGCGAAAUUCCUUGUCGGGUAAGUUCCGACCUGCACGAAUGGCGUAACGAUGGCGGCGCUGUCUCCACCCGAGACUCAGUGAAAUUGAAAUCGCUGUGAAGAUGCAGUGUAUCCGCGGCUAGACGGAAAGACCCCGUGAACCUUUACUGUAGCUUUGCACUGGACUUUGAGCCUGCUUGUGUAGGAUAGGUGGGAGGCUUUGAAGCGUGGACGCCAGUCUGCGUGGAGCCAUCCUUGAAAUACCACCCUGGCAUGCUUGAGGUUCUAACUCUGGUCCGUUAUCCGGAUCGAGGACAGUGUAUGGUGGGCAGUUUGACUGGGGCGGUCUCCUCCUAAAGAGUAACGGAGGAGUACGAAGGUGCGCUCAGACCGGUCGGAAAUCGGUCGUAGAGUAUAAAGGCAAAAGCGCGCUUGACUGCGAGACAGACACGUCGAGCAGGUACGAAAGUAGGUCUUAGUGAUCCGGUGGUUCUGUAUGGAAGGGCCAUCGCUCAACGGAUAAAAGGUACUCCGGGGAUAACAGGCUGAUACCGCCCAAGAGUUCAUAUCGACGGCGGUGUUUGGCACCUCGAUGUCGGCUCAUCACAUCCUGGGGCUGAAGCCGGUCCCAAGGGUAUGGCUGUUCGCCAUUUAAAGUGGUACGCGAGCUGGGUUUAGAACGUCGUGAGACAGUUCGGUCCCUAUCUGCCGUGGACGUUUGAGAUUUGAGAGGGGCUGCUCCUAGUACGAGAGGACCGGAGUGGACGAACCUCUGGUGUUCCGGUUGUCACGCCAGUGGCAUUGCCGGGUAGCUAUGUUCGGAAUAGAUAACCGCUGAAAGCAUCUAAGCGGGAAACUAGCCUCAAGAUGAGAUCUCACUGGGAACUUGAUUCCCCUAAAGGGCCGUCGAAGACUACGACGUUGAUAGGUCGGGUGUGUAAGCGCUGUGAGGCGUUGAGCUAACCGAUACUAAUUGCCCGUGAGGCUUGACCAUAUAACACCCAAACAAUU
rnacentral:rRNA from 1 species